rnacentral:rRNA from 1 species
ACGAACGCUGGCGGCGUGCUUAACACAUGCAAGUCGACGGAAAGGCCCUGCUUUUGUGGGGUGCUCGAGUGGCGAACGGGUGAGUAACACGUGAGUAACCUGCCCUUGACUUUGGGAUAACUUCAGGAAACCUGGGCUAAUACCGGAUAGGAGCUCCUGCUGCCUGGUGGGGGUUGGAAAGGUUCGGCGGUUGGGGAUGGACUCGCGGCUUAUCAGCUUGUUGGUGGGGUAGUGGCUUACCAAGGCUUUGACGGGUAGCCGGCCUGAGAGGGUGACCGGCCACAUUGGGACUGAGAUACGGCCCAGACUCCUACGGGAGGCAGCAGUGGGGAAUAUUGCACAAUGGGCGGAAGCCUGAUGCAGCAACGCCGCGUGCGGGAUGACGGCCUUCGGGUUGUAAACCGCUUUCGCCUGUGACGAAGCGUGAGUGACGGUAAUGGGUAAAGAAGCACCGGCUAACUACGUG